GGGAUUUUGAGGGUAUUUGAGAGCAAACUUUGAGCAACUUCCACUAGAUCUGCGGCAGGUAGAGAUGAGAUUUGAUUGAGAAGAGAGCUGCUUGUGUUUAGAGAGUUGUUGGAUGCAGAUCCAUCCAUUAUCCCAGCCAGUUGGUUCAU
ensembl:ncRNA ZK945.10 ncRNA